AUUGAACGCUGGCGGCAGGCCUAACACAUGCAAGUCGAACGAGUGGCGGACGGGUGAGUAAUGUCUGGGAAACUGCCUGAUGGAGGGGGAUAACUACUGGAAACGGUAGCUAAUACCGCAUACCAUCGGAUGUGCCCCGAUGGGAUUAGCUAGUAGGUGGGGUAAAGGCUCACCUAGGCGACGAUCCCUAGCUGGUCUGAGAGGAUGGCGAGCGACACUGGAACGGAGAAACGUACCAGAAUCCUACGGGAGGCAGCAGUGGGAAAUAUUGAAGAAUGGGCGCAAGCCUGAUGCAGCCAUGCCGCGUGAAUGAAGAAGGCCUUCGGGUUGUAAAGUACUUUCAGCGGGGAGGCGUUACCCGCAGAAGAAGCACCGGCUAACUCCGUGCCAGCAGCCGCGGUAAUAC
rnacentral:rRNA from 1 species